rnacentral:rRNA from 1 species
UACGGAGGGUGCAAGCGUUAUCCGGAAUUACUGGGCGUAAAGCGCGCGUAGGCCGUCGAGUAAGUCGGAUGUGAAAUCCCCGGGCUUAACCUGGGAAUUGCAUUCGAUACUGCUUGACUAGAGUGUGGAAGAGGGAAGCGGAAUUUCCGGUGUAGCGGUGAAAUGCGUAGAUAUCGGAAGGAACACCAGUGGCGAAGGCGGCUUCCUGGUCCAACACUGACGCUGAGGCGCGAAAGCGUGGGGAGCGAACAGG